CUCAUUGGUUCAAAUGAUGAGGGAGACUGUAACAAGACAGACAGGAAGAGGGAGAGGCACAGCAAAAAUAAUAAACUUAAGGCCACAAGUGUGUAAUAAGAAAACAUUUAUGCAAGACUUUAGAUUCCUCAAAGUGAGUCAUCUGAGGAUAGUCCUGGACAUGGUAUUUUUGUUUUGUUUGACUGGAAUGUUAUAUAACUUGUCAUAUGCUUAGUUGUCUAAGUCUUAGAUGUCAGAAUAGGAAGCAACCCAAAAGUCAAUCUUGUUUAACAUUCUUCAGGCUGUGUUUGAAUCCUUCAGAUUGCCAGGGACCAGGUGACCUCUGCUGAGCCCCCAUGACCACAAGGCUCAUUAAUUCCCAGCUAACUUACUUUAUGUUCCAGAGUGUUUGUUGUUAGAAAGUUCUUUCUCUUGCUGAACCCAAUGCUAUUUCUUAUAAAUCCAUGAAUUGAUCUUAAUUAUGGCACAAAAUAAAUAUCCUUGACAAUUGAGCAAUUAGCCCACAUAUGAAUUUUGUACAUACUGGACACAGUUUUUCUGACACACAAUCUUGGAUGAAAUUUGACAAUUCUUUCUUUUAUUUUCAGGAAUAUCAAAAUGCCUAGCCUAAGUGAUUUAAGGAGCUCACUAAACUGACCUAUAAAUAGAGCAGCUGAAAGAAGUUUGGAGCAUAGUACAUAGAAAUGUCUUUAUUUCUCCCCAAGGAAUGAAUGAACACAUGUCCCCAAGGAGCCCAGAAGGCAGGACUCUGUCCGCAGUUUGUGCGGAUUAAAGACCACUUUUUCACGCAGAGUGGUCCAGCCACCAUCUGCACCAUACAACACUGGCCGUUCCCGAUCUCCUCCAGGGGGGAUCAACAGUGAGCAGGGAUAGCAGCAGUGACCGAGUGACCGAGUGGGCUCCAGCUCCUGGAAUCAGCAGGGAGCACUGAGGGAAGGGUUUGUAAUAUCAGCAACUGAGCUCUGUGUAUAUACCACAUGCAAACACCAGCUAAGCACCAAGUGAUUGGACAACCACAUGAACAAAGGAAAAGAGACAAGGGCCAAUUUACAGUGCAAUGCCAUUAACUAAAAGAAUUCAGAACCUGCAGGAGGAUCUUGCUCUGGCACAUUCCCAGAAUCUAAGUUGAUUGAUUUUUAAAACUUAAACAUGAGUCAUUUUGUUUAAUGUAUUAAAUGGGGUAUGGAUAAUAAUGUCUUAGUGAUGAUUCAAAUUCAAACUUACUUGUCAUGCAGAAAGAUCAUGAUGAAGAAAAUAAUGAUUAAAGGGCCACAGGUAGUAAUUACUUUCUGAGAAAAAGUGAUGCUUCCUUCUGUAAAAUCUUCCAUCUUUAUAGAAAUUUAUUUGACUUAGCCCCAUAGCAUUUCCUUAAGCUCCCUUUUGAUUGGACAAAGCUAAAGUAGGCUUUCUUUAUAGAUCCUUUUGCUUUAAUAAAUUGGCAUCUAGAAAAUUCGCAAGCAACCUGUAACAAAACCUAACUGAAUUUUUGCUGAGCUGUUUUUAAAAUAAGAUUCCUCUAUCUUAGAAUUUUCAACAGCAGCUUACCUCUUU